GUUGGUAGAGAUAAGAUUGUAGUGAAACUUAUUAAUGAUCUUUUGAUUUUAUGUUCAUCGUAAAGUUCAUUCAACCUUUGAAAUUGUAUGAGAUCGAGAGUUCAAUUCAUUCUCGACAUAAAUCAAAAGAGAAAGACAAAAUGAUAGAACAAGAAAUUUGUAUCUAAUACUUGAAGACUUGGCAGUGCUUUGAUCUAAAUAAGCAAAUGGUUUUUGACAAAGGUAGUAAGAGUUGAAAAAGGUUCUGGCUUUCUGAUUGGGCCUGCUAUAUGUCAUAGUAUGGCCCAUAAUAACAAGAAGCAAAAGAAUCCAAGAUCAAAGGUAAAUUUGGGGGUUUAGUUGUUGAUCU
rnacentral:lncRNA from 1 species